AAGAUGUUCUGGAUAUAAAAGGAUAGCAGGCAGAGGGAAAGGGUGGAAGGAAGCCCCCUUUUGAAUGCCGACUGAGAUGCCAGAAAAGAGUUAAGUCUAGCUGAGCUGCUAAGAAAGAUAUAAGAAAAGAGUAUAGUUAAUCAGGCCCCCAGGAAGAAAAUACAAAGAGUGCAGAACCAGUAGCCGUAGACAACCUGGGUGGGUCGAGAGGUCCUCAACACCGGCAGCCAGAAGAAGCCUUCACGCAGUUCCUGAUGCAAGGACCGGUCUGUUGGUGAAACAACUUUGGCCUUUGGAGCAUGGAAUUGGAGAUGGAAAUUCAAGACUCAGGUGGCCCAGAGACCAUCAAGACUGGGAGCGGUGAGGAAUUAUUAGAAAGGACUCUGCUGGAAAUCCUUCAGGAGGAGACGCUCCCUUCAGAUGUACAGCGCCAGCGAUUCAGGCAGUUCCGCUACCAGGAGGUUGAGGGACCCCGACAGGUUUGCAGCCGACUCCACCACCUUUGCCUUCAGUGGCUCAGACCAGAGCAGCACACAAAACACCAGAUCAUGGACCUUGUGAUCCUGGAGCAGUUUCUGACCAUCCUGCCCCCGGAGGUGGAGAGCUGGGUGAGGGAAUGUGGAGCAGAGACCAGUUCGCAGGCGGUGGCCCUGGCAGAAGGUUUCCUCCUGAGCCAGGCAGAGGCCAGGAAGCAGGAAGAGCAGCAGGUGCAGGGGCCAUUAGCAGAAGCAAACCUCUUGGUUUUUGAGGCAGAGAAGACUUUAUCAGAUGCCAGACUGAAGCUACUGUACGGAGGGAGCUUUCAGGAGGAUCAUGCUGAUACCACUUCACUGGUUCACGGAAGACCACUGGAGGUGUUGACAAGCUCAUGGCUCCCCUGUGUGGAUGGAGAAACAGCUUCUACCCAACCAGGAUGAUGUGUCCUUUGAGGAGGUGGCUGUGCACUUCACGGAGGAGGAGUGGGCUCUGCUGGAUGCAGACCAAAGAGCCCUGCACAGAGCAGUCAUGGAGGAGAAUAGGCAGAAUGUGGCCUCUCUGGAUGAUGGGUGGAAAAUCAAGACUGAAGGAGAAGCAUGCGGGUCACCAGUAGAAAGAGCAAGAUGCAAAAAGAAAGGACGACAGAGAAAAGCAACAAAAGAAAGCCAUGAAAGGAAGAAUGAAUCUCUUCCUGUUCAU